CUUAAGUAGUUAUUUGGGGUCCCUUAAGGAGCAAUCCUUAAAUGAAUAACCGGGUGAAUUGCUGGAACUUCCUUAAGCUGAUCUCUCUACAACGCAGUUCGAAAGGACAAGCGUGAUAGGUUAAAAAGCAGGUCGGAUUGGAUAAUCAGCAGCCGAGCUCCUGUGCCGAAAGGUUGGAGAAGGUUCAACGACUAAGACGUACCGCCUAAAGCAUUAGUCAUGGCGAUGAGGUCUGUAGGGAUAUUGAGGUGUCCCGAAGUGCCCGGCUCCUAUAUAAUAGGAUGAAGAUAUAGUCUGGCAGUUAUGGAAACAUAAUU
rnacentral:ncRNA from 1 species